AGGAGGAAGACAGAAUAUAAAUUUCCCCUGGAGGGGUUUAAGACACUAUCUCUGCGUAUAGAAAUCUGAAAAACUUCCACCGCAGGACUGAAAUUCCUGAGGAACAAUGCAUUAUCAUCAGCAUCCUGAAUCUGGCUUCAACCUGGGACCAAGGUAACUCUCCAGCCACAGAGAGGACUGCAGUGGUGCUUAAGUCCUACCCAAGCUAAAUGCAGGCUUCGGCUUUGGUUCUCAGGCUGUGGCACUUCACAGUGUGACUGAUCCUUAUUCCAGCCCUUCCCCCUGCUGCAGCAAGUUCCCAAGAUCAUAAUCUUCACCUAAAAACCAGUAGGAUUGACAAACUGAAACAAGGCACUCUGCUUUGCAGACUCAGCUAUGGAGAGGGGGGAGGAAGGCUGCUUUCAGCCAAAGCAAACCAACCUCAACCAAAGGAAACUGCUUUCUUAAGGAGUCCCAGCUAAUCACAGAGGUCAAAGUGCUAAUAGAAGCUUGGAUGGCACAUUACCAGUCUUUAUGAAAAUCAACUUAAUGACAGGGUUGACUAAAACAGUGAAGGUGAUACAGCAAAUUUCUGGAGGUGGAAGGCAGUGACCCUGCAGCAUGAGUGCAUUAUCAGUCCCAACAUCAAGUAGCAGAGACAGCCUUUGAAGUACCUGAUAUAAUUUUGUGUCCAGAAGACUCCUCUGAGAGGCCUGAUGCAUGUCAGUCUCCCCAUGCCUUCACUUUACCUUCUUCCACAGCAUUUAAACAUCUGGCUUUAAUGAUGCUUCUGUAACACAACCGUAAACAUCUACGAAGGAGACAGGGAGAAAAGGCACUGUUACUUGCCUUUCCAUUGCUACUGCUCUUCUCUCCCAUAAAUUACAGGAAAAAUAUUGUUACCUAGUUUCUCACCACCAUAAGUGACUGUCAGAAUAUUUCGCUAGGAUUUCAACCUUACCAGUUAUACAUGCACAACCUUAACAACCUGACAUGAACAAAUAUUAACCAUGAUUUUUAUCUUAAAUGUUUUCUGGAGAUGCAACCAGCUCAAAGUAGCAAAUUCAUCAUAAGAUACAACAUCAUCUGCAGUUUCAGUAAUACUGCUCUGGUCUUUAGUCCAAGCCUGUAGUUGCCUUUUUGUCUAAGGGACAAGCAUUCAGUUAGGUGAAAACAAAGUACUCUCUAGAACAUUAAAUGUAUUACUUCAACUGUAUCUAUAGCCUGCCUGGCUGUUGAUAUAUGGAAGUAACAGAAACUAUCUUAUUUCCAGGCUGCUUUUAGGAGUGAGAAACAAGGCAUUUCUCCAAGGCCUCACAAGGCUUCAUCAGGGAGCCAUGCAACUCAGUAAGUGAACUGAAAGAUGAAAGGAGACUCCUGUACCCACUUUCCUACAAGUCUAUAAAACCGGUAUUAAAAAAAUUUUAAAAAACAGUUAUCACUAGCUAGUGCCCACAUUUUUCAGUUUCCCAAAGGUAUCAAAUGCAUCCAGGGAACAUGAUCUACUUUUUUUGAACUUUGUAGUGUUUGCUUCAUUGCGAGAACCAACCCCCUUUCCAGCCAUAAAGAGGUAGGUUUCAUCUGUUAAACUGAUCUAAGACAGCAACUAGCUUUCCACAAAAACCUACUGACCAAAUUUUCUUUGAAAGAUGUGUCUUAUCAACUCCUUCAGGAUGUAAGAGGAGGAUAAUGAUGAGAGAGAUAGGAAAAAAAUAGAAUUAAGGAAAACUUAGGAAAAGCCAACUGGAGACAGAAGAUCUUAACUGUAGAUAAAGUUUCACCAUCUAUUUAAUUUACAAAUGAAGCCAAGUCCCAAGAGCAGAGUAGUUCUGACAUCCUGUAAAUAUGAGAUCAGACAAACUAUGUUUUGAUAAUCUACACAGAUGCAAACUGCCUGCUUUGUUUUGACUAAACACAGCAACAGGGCAGUUUAGACCAGCAAUACAUCUAGACCAGCAAUAACUAUUACUUUUUUUUUUUUUUUGAGACUUUUUUUAAUUGCAUUUGGGCAUAUAACAAAAAAAUGGGUAAAAAGCUCACAAGGGACAAAUAUCAUAUCUAGAUAUUGAGGGCAUCCAUGACUCAUUGUAAUAAACUCAAAUGUUCAAGA